AGUGAACGCUGGCGGUAUGCCUAAUACAUGCAAGUCGAACGACAACAUAAUAAGAUUUUUCUCUUACGGUUAGCGAGUGACGGACGGGUAACGCGUGCGUCAGCUACCUAUUUUUCGUGGAUAAUACCGUAGAGAAACUUCUGCUGCCACCGCACACUUCCUACCGCUUAAUUCAGAAGUUAUUCGUACCUUUCCCAUUUGAUUGAGCUGAAGCCGGAUUAGCUAGUUGGCUUGGUAAAGGCACACCAAGGCGACGAUACGUAGCUGGUCUGAGAGGAUGAUCAGCCACACUGGAACUGAGACACGGUCCAGACUCCUACGGGAGGCAGCAGUGGGGAAUAUUGGACAAUGGGCGCAAGCCUGAUCCAGCCAUGCCGCGUGAGUGAUGAAGGCCUUCGGGUCGUAAAGCUCUUUUAUUGGGAAAGAAAAAAUGCGGGUUAAUACCCCGCUGUUCUGACGGUACCUAAUGAAUAAGCACCGGCUAACUACGUG
rnacentral:rRNA from 1 species